CAAACAAAGGCAAAUUUCUUCCGGGCAUAUUAUGUUGCAUACUUCUAGGCUCUUUCUAUAUACAUGCAUAUUGGUGCUUUCAAAAGUGGGAGGAUAACAUCCGAACAAUUUUUUUGCUGCAAAAUUUACAUCCCUUAUGAAAUUAGUAUUUACUUAGGUGAAAAAUUAAAAAAAAAAAUAUCUCUUUCUAACUCUCCGCUUGCCCUAAUUUAUAUUUUUUUAAUAUUUCCUACUUUUAAACUUCAAACUCCAAAGAGGUAAAUUUUUUUUUAACCGCUUAUGCAUAAAUUGCCACCUUUCGAAAUGUUUAACAUUUUACGUGUUUGUUUUUCUACGCCUCUUUUCGAACUUACCACAGCUAUCACAGAUAUUCUCCAACUGUUUUAUUUGUUUUGUUUAGCACUCAUCUAUGAACUUGAAAAUCAGAAACUUUUAGAAUUUUAUAAUAUAUAGUUAUAAUUAAGUAAAUAUAUAUACAUAAAUUGAUAUUUAAAUAAGUAAUUGAUGAAAUUUCCAAUAAAAGUUAUAGGUGAAAAAUUGAAUUUUAUACGACAAAAAGCGUUUUGAGGGAAUAUGUAGUGUAUGAAUGUACUGUGUUUUUUCGAUAUAAUUUUUUUUUUAUGAAUUUCUAAGUUUCAAAUUCGUUUAAGCAAAACAAAGUGUGAACAUAAAUUUGCUUAAAAGGGUAUAAAGCCAGAAUUCUAAAUUUGUAUUAAAGAAAAUUAUUAAAGACAAUGGUGAACUCGGUGAGCUGCUGUAUGCGCCGAGCCAAUCAUGCAAAUGCGAAUGAAAAAGAAAUUACAAAUAAACAAAAGAAGUAAAGGAAAACGGAAAACAAAAUGGGAGUUAAAUAAAAAGUUAUGUAAGCAACAAUAAAGUAAAAAAAGAAAAAUCAGACAAAAUAGCACACACGCUGCCACAAGUAAUAAUACAAAAAAUUUAUGUGUGUAUGAACAUAAAACACUAAACAAUGCGUUGAAUAUCUAUAGAGUUUGCAUUUUUUUUAAUAAAAUUUUUUUGAAAACAUAUAAAAUCAACCAUAAGUAAAAAACAAUAAUUAAAUUUAGUUUUUUACGAACGAAAAAAAUAACUCAAACUUGCGGAUAAUUAAUAUAAUUUAAUGGAAAAAUUAAAAAUAAGCAAAUGUUAGGAAAAUGUCAGAGUUAGGCAGAAAGUGGCAAAUAAAGUGCGGAUAACUGUAUAAAAAAAUGUUUUACGAAUCCGAUUAUACGAACUUAGCGAGUCGAUAUUCAAAAAUAGUUGCUAUUCAGCAAUAGCAGGUAACUUGAAUGAGAAAGCAAAACACAUAUAUAUUUAUAUGUAUGUAACCCAGGCAGAGAUGAAUUUCAAUUAACUAUAUAGAAACUGAAGACGAAAAGCUUAGUGUCAACAGUGUCUACCAAAAAAAAAA